UACGGAGGAUCCAAGCGUUAUCCGGAAUCAUUGGGUUUAAAGGGUCCGUAGGCGGUUUUGUAAGUCAGUGGUGAAAUCUGGUCGCUUAACGAUCAAACGGCCAUUGAUACUGCAAGACUUGAAUUAUUGGGAAGUAACUAGAAUAUGUAGUGUAGCGGUGAAAUGCUUAGAUAUUACAUGGAAUACCAAUUGCGAAGGCAGGUUACUAUCAAUAUAUUGACGCUGAUGGACGAAAGCGUGGGGAGCGAACAGG
rnacentral:rRNA from 1 species